GAACGCUGGCGGCGUGCCUAAUACAUGCAAGUCGAACGCACAGCGAAAGGUGCUUGCACCUUUCAAGUGAGUGGCGAACGGGUGAGUAACACGUGGAUAACCUACCUCAAGGUUGGGGAUAACAUUUGGAAACAGAUGCUAAUACCGAAUAAAACUUAGUAUCGCAUGAUACCAGGUUAAAAGGCGCUACGGCGUCACCUAGAGAUGGAUCCGCGGUGCAUUAGUUAGUUGGUGGGGUAAAGGCUUACCAAGACAAUGAUGCAUAGCCGAGUUGAGAGACUGAUCGGCCACAUUGGGACUGAGACACGGCUCAAACUCCUACGGGAGGCUGCAGUAGGGAAUCUUCCACAAUGGGCGAAAGCCUGAUGGAGCAACGCCGCGUGUGUGAUGAAGGCUUUCGGGUCGUAAAGCACUGUUGUAUGGGAAGAACAGCUAGAGUAGGGAAUGACUUUAGUUUGACGGUACCAUACCAGAAAGGGACGGCUAAAUACGUGCCAGCAGCCGCGGUAAUACGUAUGUCUCGAGCGUUAUCCGGAUUUAUUGGGCGUAAAGCGAGCGCAGACGGUUAAUUAAGUCUGAUGUGAAAGCCCGGAGCUCAACUCCGGAAAGGCAUUGGAAACUGGUUAACUUGAGUGCAGUAGAGGUAAGUGGAACUCCAUGUGUAGCGGUGGAAUGCGUAGAUAUAUGGAAGAACACCAGCGGCGAAGGCGGCUUACUGGACUGUAACUGACGUUGAGGCUCGAAAGUGUGGGUAGCAAACAGGAUUAGAUACCCUGGUAGUCCACACCGUAAACGAUGAACACUAGGUGUUAGGAGGUUUCC
rnacentral:rRNA from 1 species